AUUCACACACACUGCAUCAAGGCCUAUGGAAAGGAGGCUGGGUCACGUGCGGACAUCGGUCUUGGUGUAUGGGGUAUGACAAAUGCGCAGUGUAACUGAAGCUGCGGUCGUGUGUUGCGAUUGGCUCAAUUUCGGCGAGUGCAGACCAGAUUUUACUGCGCAUGUGUUUUACCCCAAAAGAUAUGAUGCGUGACACAGCCUCCUUUCUAUAGGCCUUGGUUGCAGUGUAUGUUAAGGACAUCAGCUGAUAGGAAGUAAACAUGAACCCAAACUGUUGCCAGGCAACGCAAUUCUGUUGCAAAUCCGUUGAAAUGCACUAAA